UACGGAGGGUGCAAGCGUUAUCCGGAUUCACUGGGUUUAAAGGGUGCGUAGGCGGGCAUGUAAGUCCGUGGUGAAAUCUCCGAGCUUAACUCGGAGACUGCCAUGGAUACUAUGUGUCUUGAAUGUUGUGGAGGUGAGCGGAAUAUGUCAUGUAGCGGUGAAAUGCUUAGAUAUGACAUAGAACACCAAUUGCGAAGGCAGCUCACUACACAAAUAUUGACGCUGAGGCACGAAAGCGUGGGGAUCAAACAGG
rnacentral:rRNA from 1 species